UACGGGGGGGGCAAGCGUUGUUCGGAAUUACUGGGCGUAAAGGGCUUGUAGGCGGCCAACUAAGUCAAACGUGAAAUCCCUCGGCUUAACCGGGGAACUGCGCUUGAUACUGGAUGGCUUGAGAUUGGGAGAGGGAUGCGGAAUUCCAGGUGUAGCGGUGAAAUGCGUAGAUAUCUGGAGGAACACCGGUGGCGAAGGCGGCAUACUGGACCAACACUGACGCUGAGGAGCGAAAGCCAGGGGAGCAAACGGG
rnacentral:rRNA from 1 species